rnacentral:rRNA from 1 species
GACGAACGCUGGCGGUGUGCUUAACACAUGCAAGUCGAACGGUAAGGCCCUUUCGGGGGUACACGAGUGGCGAACGGGUGAGUAACACGUGAGUAACCUGCCCUCAUCUCUGGGAUAACAGUCGGAAACGGUUGCUAAUACUGGAUAUGAGCUUGCAAGGCAUCUUGUGGGUUGGAAAGAUUUUUUUUGGUUGGGGAUGGACUCGCGGCCUAUCAGCUUGUUGGUGAGGUAGUGGCUCACCAAGGCUUCGACGGGUAGCCGGCCUGAGAGGGCGACCGGCCACAUUGGGACUGAGAUACGGCCCAAACCCCUACGGGAGGCAGCAGGGGGGAAUAUUGCACAAUGGACGGAAGUCUGAUGCAGCAACGCCGCGUGCGGGAUGACGGCCUUCGGGUUGUAAACCGCUUUCAAUUGUGACGAAGCUUUUUUGUGACGGUAGCAGUAGAAGAAGCACCGGCUAACUACGUG